rnacentral:sRNA from 1 species
CUGAUUCAAUUGUUAGAUGAUCUCAAAAAGACAGAUCAGUGAAGAGUCCACUUAUCAUUCUGGCCAUGGAAUAGAAGCAUUUUCUUUUGUCAAUGGUUCAUAAAGUCGAAUUAUCUAGAACAUUCAGACAGUUCGGGGAAUUACUUUUACGAUCAUUCAGUAAAAUAGCAGCACUUAGGCAAAUAUUAAAAACAAAAAAAAACGAAAUCUAAAAAGGUGUGUAAACUUUGUUAUGACGUUUGGCUUUCAUUUUAAAAUAAAAUAGAAAAUAUAAGAUAACUCGUUGUAAUUUAGUUCACUAGACUAGAUUACAAUAUUAACUUCUGUAUACAAUGUAUAUAUACUCUACAAUUAAGUCGUAUACAAUAGUUUUGUUACAAAGUCAGUAAGUGAAUGCCAGUAAAAUAUAUGCGCAUCGAACUUGUAACUAAUUAUUCAAUAUUUAAAAAUGUUUCUAUUUUUUGUUAAAGAACAAUCUAAACAAGCAGACCCUAAUGAAAAUCACUGGUUUUGCAUUGAGGCAGGCCUAGUUGGUGCCACCCUUGUGGUCGCGUUGGUCAUAGUCAUCAUGAUGCUAAUUGGUGGUUUCUACUAUUUCAAGUGGAGAAAAG